AUGGUCACGGUCACGUUCACAGUCAUGGUCUUGGUCAUGGUUAUGGCCAGGGUCAGGGUCACGGUGAGGGCAAACACACAAAUAAAGACAAAAACAAUGUCAAGCACACUGACCAGAGAGCAGAGCCUUUGACAAGCUCUUCUGAAGACAGUACUACAUCUACACAGAUACAGGGGAGGACAGAGGGCUUCACCUUGAACCCUCCCCUAGCUCAGCCAGAUGUUAUCUCUCGUGGUUUUCAGGACUCAGGUUUCACUGAAGGUGUGGUAGCUACCACAUCACCAUAUGACAUGGAGAACCAUGAUGAUUUGAUCCCUGAUAUCCAUGUACAACCAGAUAGCCUUUCAUUUAAGCUGAUAUCUGAUUUUCCAGACUUAACUCAUACUGAUGCUCUUUCUUAACUUAUACAGCCCAGGUACUUUUACAAAUGCUUUCCCAGCCUCUUUUUCUACUGCCCAAACACAAAUAUUAUGAUAUAAGUCAUCAAGCCAUGAGGCUCAGAACAGCCUGUCAGAAGGACUUUAUAAAUCCCUGUGGACUGAUAAUCAAACUGCCAUCCUUCUGAAUUCCUUCUGAGCCUGCCUCACACGCUCUCUAAACCAAUACAGGAAGAAGCCUACCAGAAUCCACUGCUCAGAUAAUGAGUGGGUAUCUCAAGAUACACAUUAGCAUUUCCAUACAGAACUAUGGUCUCUGUGUUUAGAAAACAGAAAAUCAAGAGACUGAAGGUUUAUGGAUGGGGGAAAAUAACAGCAAAACUUCCAGAUGUCAGAGAAAGAUAAGAAAACAGAAACAGGCUGAUCAAAGGGAGAAAGUGGGCA
rnacentral:lncRNA from 1 species